UAUACUUUUGAUGCCAGUUGUGACCGCAGCGUCCAUCACUGACAUCGCUGGCUAUUUAGCCUUACCUAUGUGUACAAUUUCAACUUGAUGGGUGGAUGCCUGUGCAAGCUGGUAGCGCAUUUAAAAGAAGGGUCUUGAAAGCAGCAACACAACCAUUGCACUGAGAAAUGGACAAGAGAGAAGUUUAAUCUAUCCUUCUGCUAAAACACAAUGGAUACUUUACCUGGGUGCUAAUAGCGCGUGGCAGUUGCCAAUGGCAGUUUAGCUGGUUUGGAAAGUAUGAAUACAAGUGUAACAUAUUUUCUGAACUCAUGAAUCAUUAGGCUCGUUGAAGGACACGUCUUUGAGGAAGUACUCAACUUGCUUCCCUGAACUAACCCCCCAGGGUGGGGUUUUCGUAAUCGCGUUACCAUCACUGUGGCUUUAGGCGUCACUUAUGUGACUCACCUGGUUUGGGCUGCUUUAGACAACAGGUCCAGAGUUCAGUCUGCUGAAGGGCACUGACUGAGAUCAUUGUUUCCCAGGGCAUGGCCUUUAAAGGUUAAACUGGUGGGGAGAGGCUCAGGAACAUGUGACUUGCUAUAUUUAGGCUGCGUUCUUCCCUAGAAGAAUCUGUUCCAGAGAUCAUUCUGGAACGCUUCUUGGUUCUAAGGAGAGGUUGGGCAUCAUCCCCUCACCCCCUACCCCGUCCCCAUGCUGAUGUCCAUGAACUUGGAGCCCUAGAUUCUCACAGCAGACAACGCUGUCAAGGAAAAGCCCAGCCUUGUACCAAGUUAUCAAUAUCAGCUGCGACCCGGUGAGGGGAGCCAUCCAUCCUCACAGAGACAUUAGCACGUCUUGACUCGCCCUUGGAGCCUCUAUUUGAAAGGUUCAUCCAUCUGCAUGCAGCACUAAUGACACUGGCCUUGAUCUGAACAGCAGAGAACUUCGUUUUGCUCGUUCCCUGUUAGGAGGUUGUGAAAGGAGAGUUGGCAUGAAAGAGCCUGACAUCCCUCCUCUAAAUGUGUGUUAAAUGCACUGCAAGGCAGGUUCUUUACCACUAGCACCACCUGGGAAGCCCUCUCACAAAAUGAUAUACAAGUAUCCUGUGAGUGUAAACUCUCCUCUGAAAUGGAAGAAUGAGGCCAUUGGAUUAGCUGAUUUCCUUAGAUCCUGAUUUUCGAUUCAUCACUGCAGGAUUCUGACAAUAAGUGCUUGGAGGUCAGAGUUUUAUCGUCUAAACAGGUUUUCUUCUCCUCCUCUUAUUGCAUUUAGAUCAGAAAGCAAUGUAGAGAAGCAAGUUAUAUGGAAUUAAAGUUGGCUUGCAAUCAUAGCUAAGUUCUAUUAUCUGCAUCUUGCAUGCAGGAUGUAUUAUGUCAAAAUAUUGACCAGUGAACAUACAGAGUGUACUGAAGUUUCUUUACUUAUGAACAGGUUAGAUUUAUAAUGUUAUUCUUUUGUUAGAAUUUUAUUUUAUUAUGGUACGUGCAUGCUAAGUCGCUUCAUUUGUGUCCAAUUCUGUGUGAUCUCAUGGACUGUAACCCGCCA